rnacentral:rRNA from 1 species
AGUGAACGCUGGCGGCAGGCCUAACACAUGCAAGUCGAGCGGCAGCGCGGGGGCAACCCUGGCGGCGAGCGGCGGACGGGUGAGGAAUUCGUCGGAAUCUGCCUUUUUGUGGGGGAUAACGUAGGGAAACUUACGCUAAUACCGCAUACGUCCUCCGGGAGAAAGUGGGGGACCGCAAGGCCUCACGCAGAAAGAUGAGCCGACGACCGAUUAGCUAGUUGGUGGGGUAAAGGCCCACCAAGGCGACGAUCGGUAGCUGGUCUGAGAGGAUGAUCAGCCACACGGGAACUGAGACACGGCCCAGACUCCUACGGGAGGCAGCAGGGGGGAAUAUUGGACAAUGGGCGCAAGCCUGAUCCAGCCAGGCGGCGGGUGUGAAGAAGGCCUUCGGGUUGUAAAGCACUUUUGUCCGGAAAGAAAUCCCUGGAGCUAAUACCUUCGGGGGAUGACGGUACCGGAAGAAUAAGCACCGGCUAACUUCGU